ensembl:lncRNA
CAGUUAUUGUGAAUAAGCCACUGCAGUUAUGAAAUUGAUAAAAUAAUGGCCAUGUUUCAAGUGUGUACCGACGGAAUAUUUUUGGUAUUUAUUAGGAUCCCCAUUAGCCGCUGCAAAAGUAUCAGAAUUGUUCACUUCUCAACUUCUCAAACCCCGGCUUGAGAAGUCUGCUUCCCAAGCGUUCUCUGAAGUCUCGCGUUGUUACGUCUCUGUGAUUAGAAAACUGGUAGUGGGGAAACAGGAAGUUCCGCGCAGGCGCACAUCAUUCUUCAGAAUAAAGGAUACGUCAGAAUUGUGCAGUCGAGACGAUAACUUCUGUGUCCGUUUCUAAUAUAUUACUACUGGUAUGUAAUAGCACGUUCUAAUAUCGAAAGAACAUGUCAUAACAUGCUAGGUAACAAUUACGUCAAGGUAUUAUCACGUUUGAUAAAGGUUUUAUGUGCUAUUUUUUUUAAUGUCAAACCGCGUGAGUGAACGUGAUCACCUUUUUCAAGUCACAUAGUUAGAUACUUUGGUAGUCUGAGUGGAUGUAUAUAAUUUCGUCAAGAUUAAGUCUGAGGCCGGUAACAUCAACAGUGAGGACAAACCCAGUCUGCCUCUCUCCUUCCACACUGAGUUCAAACCUACAGUCACUGGGUCCUGAUUGUGACAGUGGAGCCCAGUUUGCACUGCAGGAUCCAGAGAUGGCGUCAGUGAAGCUGGAAGACUGCAGUCAAACACUGGAGCUGAAUGUCAACAUUAAAGAUGAAGAAGAGGAGGAGGAGAUUGGGACAUCUGUUUCUCAUGGUAUGAGGCCGGGAACAUCGACAGUGAGGACAAACCCAGCCUGCCUCUCUCCUUCCACAUUGAGUCCAAACCUACAGUCACUGGGUCCUGAUUGUGACAGUGGAGCCCAGUUUACACUGCAGGAUCCAGAGAUGGCAUCAGUGAAGCUGGAAGACUGCAAUCAAACACUGGAGCUGAAUGUCAACAUUAAAGAUGAAGAAGAGGAGGAGAAGAAUGGGACAUCUGUUAGUCAUGGUAAGAGCUGGUUCUGUCUAAUUUUGUUGUUCGUUACAACUUCUCCGCUGUGCAUGAAAAGUUGCAGUAUAACUGUUUCAAUGAGAACGUAUAUAUUAUUUCAUGUUACUGACACUUGCAUGGUUUGACACCAGUAUUGCCAGCAUUUGUUUUAUUCACUGGGCGAUCUGGAGUGUUCAGAGAGUAGACUGAAGAAGUGUAGUAAAACUGACAGUGUUUUUAAAUUCUAUGAAAUUAGUUUGUGUCGUUUCUAACCCUUUUGUGAUAGUGAGUGGAGGAUGAUAUGGCUGAGAUAGUUUUAGAUUAGUUUUAUUCCCCUUUUGUAUUGCGCAGCCUACUGAUAUGAAUUACGUACAGGUAGCCUAGUGGUUGGAGAGAUGGGCCAGUAAUCGAAAGGUUGCUGGAUCAAAUCCCUGAGCUGACAAGGUAAAAAUAAACUCGGCAAAAAAAGAAACGUCCUCUUACUGUCAACUGUGUUUAUUUUCAGCAAACUUCAUGUGUAAAUAUUUGUAUGUAAAAUAACAAGAUUCAACAACAGACAUAAACUGAACAAGUUCCUUGGACAUGUGACUAACAUAAUAGAAUAAUGUGUCCCUGAACAAAGGGGGGGGUCAAAAUAAAAAAAAACAGUCAGUAUCUGGUGUGGCCACCAGCUGCAUUAAGUACCGCAGUGCAUCUCCUCAUGGACUGCACCAUAUUUGCCAGUUCUUGCUGUGAGAUGUUACCCUGCUCUUCCACCAAGGCACCUGCAAGAUCCCGGACAUUUCCUGGGGGAAUGGUCCUAUCCCUCACACUCCGAUCCUACAGGUCCCAGACCUGCUCAAUGGGAUUGAGAUCCGGGCUCUUCGCUGGCCAUGGCAAAACACUGACAUUCCUGUCUAGCAGGUGUGAUGUUCGGAUGUAUCGAUCCUGUUCGGGUGUUGUGGUUGUGGUCUAUUCCAAAGGCCAAAAUCAACAUCCUCGCGAAUUCUAUGCAAAGGAGAUUUGUGCCGGAGGAGGCAGCGGCAGCUACCAAUUUCUCCAGUGCUUAAUGUGUAAAUUGGGAGGUGCUGGAACCAAAACUGAGCCCGAGAGUGUUGACCUGCGGGUGUCCGAGGUACCAGAACACAUUAAAUAAAAUACCUUUAUAAUAAAGCAUUAUCAUGGCUUUAGUGUACUGGCAUAUUAUAAUUGUUUUAUUUUAUUUAACUAGGCAAGUCAGUUAAGAACCAAUUCUUAUUUACAGUGACUGCCUACCUGUACCAAACCCAUGGAGAUUCUUGGGAAUAUGGUCACCAUAAUUUGCAAAUAAAUAAAUAAAAAAAUCCUACAAUGAUUUUCUGGAUUUCUUUUCUUCUCAUUUUGUCUGUCAUAGUUGAAGUGUACCUAUGAUGAAAAUUACAGGCCUCAUAUUUUUAAGUGGGAGAACUUGCACAAUUGGUGGCUGACUAAAUACUUU